UGGGGAAUAUUGCACAAUGGGGGAAACCCUGAUGCAGCGACGCCGCGUGAACGAAGAAGGUAUUCGUAUCGUAAAGUUCUGACCUAUGGGAAGAUAAUGACAGUACCAUAGAAGAAAGCUCCGGCUAAAUACGUGCCAGCAGCCGCGGUAAUACGUAUGGAGCGAGCGUUGUCCGGAAUUAUUGGGCGUAAAGGGUACGCAGGCGGUUUAAUAAGUCGAAUGUUAAAGAUCGGGGCUCAACCCCGCAAAGCAUUGGAAACUGAUAAACUUGAGUAGUGGAGAGGAAAGUGGAAUUCCUAGUGUAGUGGUGAAAUACGUAGAUAUUAGGAGGAAUACCAGUAGCGAAGGCGACUUUCUGGACACAAACUGACGCUGAGGUACGAAAGCGUGGGGAGCAAACAGG
rnacentral:rRNA from 1 species